AUGCCCUGGGCCGAAGGCAGACGCUCAACCGCUGAGCCCCCGGGUGCCCCUGCCUUGUACUUUUCUCGGCUCUGGAUUCCACGUUAUGGUCGCCUCCGAAUCUACAGUGGAAUCUGCACCAACACUGGCUUCCAGUCCCAGGGCUUUGCUGCAGGUGAGCGAGGGUCUCCCGAGGCCUCGGGGUGCAGGAGAACAGAGGGUGCGAGCCCCCCAGAAGGCGCCGCGGUUUGCACGUUGCACCUCCAGGGCCCGGCAGCAGGGGUCACUACAUGAAAAGUUAUGAUCGGGUGGCAGGUUCCCACGGCUUCGGGUGUGAGCUCGCCCGCCCGGGGCUGGGGUCUGUGGGCUGCAGGGCUCAGACGUCACUGCGGCCUCUGCACGGUCAGCCGCUCCCCGGGGCGCGCUGCUGCGAAGGGCAAAUCAGGUUCAUCUAUUUCAGACUGUUCUUUACGAACCCUCCAGGUGGUCAUACAUACCAAGAACAUAAUAAAAUAUCCCCAUAAAGCCCAAGGACCAGAUCUGUGUUUUAGCUACUUGACGUCUUGAGAGUUCCAGCAAUGGCUUCAGGUCUUCUGGUUCUCCCCACGGAUGCCAGUGGCCCACCAGUCCUUCAGGGGCCCCGGGCCCCAGGAUAGAGACCAGGAGGGGUCCUUACACGCCCGUGAGACUUCUCUAAGUCUCGUUUCCUCCUAAGAGUCUGAAACAAAGAGUGACCCACCACGUUGGGCAGAUCAUUUCCUCUCCUUGGCCUCUCAGUUUUCCCAACCAAAAAUGAGGUUAAAUCAAUGUUGAUAAAUGUCUCUACAUGAGGUGAUGCCAAUCCUAAAGUCAACAAAAAACAAGCUCUCAAAACAAUGCAGGUAUUUUUUCUUAAAUGUAUUUAAAAACAUGCAAUAAAAUAGAGACACGCACAUACUGUGGUUAUUAUUUUGUAAUAAGCUACCUUUGAGGGCUGGUGACUCAGGCCUGGGGAGAGGAGGCGGAGGGUAUGCUGCGGACAGGCAGGGGUGGGGGCCUGCCAUCCACGGGAUGACCGCUACCCCAUCAGGCCUCCUGUGAUUAUCACACAAUUUUGUUAGAGUUUGUGCUUUUUGUUCUUUGUGCAAGAAAAAUGAAUAUUUUCACUCUCUUAUGAGAUUAAAUGACAUAUAAAUACAUUGAAGUAGUUUGUGUAGCAUUUAACCUCCUCGUGAGACCAUUUUGGCUGCCUCAUUAAAGCCAAGUGAUCUUGCUCAUGUUCCGUCCAUGGAGGGUGAUUUAAAAAAAUGCUUUAUUGUGUGUGUGUGUGUGUGUGUGUGUGUUUUAAAGAUUUUAUGUAUUUAUUCAUGAGAGACACAGAGAGAGGCAGAGACACAGGCAGAGGCUCCCAUGCAGGGAGCCUGAUGUGGAACUCGAUCCCGGGACCCCGGGGUCACGACCUGAGCCGAAGGCAGAUGCUCAGCCGCUGAGCCACCCGGGCUGUCCCUCUGAAACUUUUAUUAUCACAUUUUCCUUUCUGUCUGUUCUCCUCUUAGUUUUUAUUUAUUUAAUUAAUUCAUUUUGAAGAUUUUAUUUAUUGGAGAGAGAGAGCACAUGAAAUGGGGUGCAGGGCAGAGGGAGAGGGAGAAGCAGAUUCCCCGCUCUGCAGGGAGCUGGAUGCAGGGCUCCAUCCUAGGACACUGGGAUCGUGACCUGAGCUGAGGCAGAUGCUCAACCACUGAGCCCCCCAAGAGCCCCGCUCAGUGAUUUUUAUUUUGUUUAUCCCAAUCAGUGGACCUCUGCUUUAAGAAGCAGGGUGCUGAAUGCUUAGUGGCUGGGCCACGGGCUGGCUCUGGCUGCCUCUCUCUACUGAAGGCCCUGGCUCCCAUUGGACAGUUCUCUCCCAGAGCUGUGGGUCGCUCUGGGUUCCGGCAGCCACUGCCCCCUGUUCUUCCCCAGAUCUAGAGACAGAAACAGCUCCCAUGAUGCUAGUUGCAAGGUUCAGCACAGGAUCCUUGCUUUCCUUUAUUCCCGUUAGAAGGUG
rnacentral:lncRNA from 1 species